UACGUAGGGUGCAAGCGUUAAUCGGAAUUACUGGGCGUAAAGCGUGCGCAGGCGGUUAUGUAAGACAGAGGUGAAAUCCCCGGGCUCAACCUGGGAACUGCCUUUGUGACUGCAUAGCUAGAGUACGGUAGAGGGGGAUGGAAUUCCGCGUGUAGCAGUGAAAUGCGUAGAUAUGCGGAGGAACACCGAUGGCGAAGGCAAUCCCCUGGACCUGUACUGACGCUCAUGCACGAAAGCGUGGGGAGCAAACGAGG
rnacentral:rRNA from 1 species